rnacentral:rRNA from 1 species
UACGUAGGGCGCAAGCGUUGUCCGGAAUUAUUGGGCGUAAAGAGCUCGUAGGUGGCGUGUCGCGUCUGCCGUGAAAGCCCAUGGCUUAACUGUGGGUCUGCGGUGGAUACGGGCAGGCUGGAGGCUGGUAGGGGCAAGCGGAAUUCCUGGUGUAGCGGUGAAAUGCGCAGAUAUCAGGAGGAACACCCGUGGCGAAGGCGGCCCCCUGGGCCGAACCUGACGCUGAGGCGCGAAGGCUAGGGGAGCGAACGGG